CACAGGAAUAACAUGAAUGAAGAGGGAUUCAACCUGCAAAGCACAGCAUCAAUAAAGAUCCUGUGAAUUCAACACCAUCAUCUCCCCAAGGACUACUGGAACUGCUGUUGUAGUCUGGUGUUGCCUCCUGGAAUUGCUGUCUGGCACUUGCUCACCAGCUCCUCGGUGCAGGCCCAGGUAUAUAAGCUAACUUUACCACCAA